GAUCAUUAACGAGUUAGGGUCUUCUCAGGCCCGACCUCCCAACCCUUUGUUUACCCGACCCAUGUUGCUUCGGCGGGCCCGCCGUUUCGACGGCCGCCGGAGGACCGCCUAUUCAGGUCCUCUGGCCCGCGCCCGCCGGUAGCCAAUUCUACCAAACUCUUGAAUCAAAUCGUGUCCAAUGUCUGAGUAUAUUACAAAAUAAAAGCAAAACUUUCAACAACGGAUCUCUUGGUUCUGGCAUCGAUGAAGAACGCAGCGAAAUGCGAUAAGUAAUGCGAAUUGCAGAAUUCCAGUGAGUCAUCGAAUCUUUGAACGCACAUUGCGCCCUUUGGUAUUCCGAAGGGCAUGCCUGUUCGAGCGUCAUUAUCACCCCUCAAGCCCCCCGGCUUGGUGUUGGACGGUCUGGUCGAGCGUUUCCGCGCGACCCCUCCCAAAGACAAUGACGGCGGCCUGGUUGGACCCCCGGUACACGGAGCUUCUUCACU
rnacentral:misc_RNA from 1 species